GUGGAUUUCAAGUAAUCAAGUAAUCAAAGGUAGUGAGCAUUCUGGCAAAAGUAAAGAGAUAUUACCGGAGGAUCAAGAAUCAGAGUACUCGGAACUCAAUAUCCAUUACAGCUCAAGAUAGUCUGUAAAUAGCUUAUUUCAUUGAGGGCUACAGUUGGACUUGCAUCCUCAAAAACUGUAGGUUUAUCGCUUUUAAUACUUUUAGUCGU